UACAGAGGGUGCUAGCGUUGUUCGGAAUCAUUGGGCGUAAAGGGCGUGUAGGCGGUUUGUUAAGUCAUGUGUGAAAUCCCUCGGCUCAACCGGGGAACGACGCAUGAAACUGGCAAGCUAGAGUACCAAAGAGGGGGGGUGGAAUUCCCGGUGUAGCGGUGAAAUGCGUAGAUAAUCGGGAGGAACACCUGUGGCGAAGGCGGCCCCCUGGUUGGAUACUGACGCUGAGACGCGAAAGCGUGGGGAGCAACAGG
rnacentral:rRNA from 1 species